ensembl:lncRNA
AUCUCCGAGAGCCCCGCCCGCCUGCUUCCUCCCGAAGAGGCUUCGUGCGCAGACGGAUGGGCGCGGACUCGGGCUCCCGUCUCGGUCGGGUAGGGCGGUUACAUCCCGUCUGUGCACGGUCCCGGGACGAGGGCCGAGUCGGGGAGGCGAGGUCGUCCGGCUCUCAGAGAGGUCCCUAGAUCCGCAAGGCCUAGCGGGAGUUGAGACUCGGCGGGAACCGACCCUCCCAAGAUCCCGUCUGCGCAGACAGCGGUGGGCUUCACGAAGUAAGCUCCGUAUAUAAAGGCUGGAUGGAGCCUUUCAAUUCAGUCAGUCAAGAGAGGGAAACCGAGACGAAGCCGCCGCGGCCCCCGUCACGGCCGAUCGGACGCGGCCUCAAACCGGAACUGACGAGGAGAAGGAAGACGGACGUUACAGCGGGCAGAAAACACGUCGGUGUCCAUUAACGGCCAGCGGCAACGGUAUAGACAGCGGGUGAUAUGGAUGACCUACGGUGCACGCCACGCCCACAGACAGUGCGGGCCACACCCACCCUCCCUAGGCCACGCCCACCCUCCCUAGUCCGCCGCAACGGUUUGUACAGGGGAUGGCGCUGAAGACGGACAGUGCACGCCACGCCCACAGACAGUACGGGCCACGCCCACCCGCUCCAUGCUGAACCGGGACAGCGCGGGUUCUGCUUCUGCCAGAGGAGAAUUUAUUUUAUUUUUUAAUUCUUUAUUUAUUUUUAUUUUAUUUUAUUUUCUACUUAUUUAUUAUUUAUUUUAUUUUAUUUUAUUUUCCUACUUAUUUUAUUUUAUUUAUAUUUGGUAUAGUUUAUUUUUUAUAUAUUUUUUAUUAUUUUUUAUUUUAUUCAUAUUCAUUUUUAUUUUAUCUUAUAUUACUUAUUUUUAUUUUAUUUAAUUUAUUUUCUAUUCAUUUUUAUUUUAUUUUAUUUCAUUCAUUCUCUUGUUGUCCCAAGACACUGAGGAAAUAAACUUGGACAGAGGUUGAGAUACUUUAGGACUUUUAAUAUAUAUAUAUAUAUAUACAUAUAUGUGUAUAUAUAUAUUUAAUAGACAUAAAGUUUUCUUGAAUAUGUAUAAAAUAAAUGAUAUAGAAAUAAAUAAAAUAUAUAAAUACAUAAUAAAUAAAAUAUACAUAUUUAUAUAUUUAUAUAUUUUUCACGUUUCCCUGCGGGCUCAUCGCUCUGCUGACGUCUUGUAUCGAUUUCC